rnacentral:rRNA from 1 species
CCUACGGGCGGCAGCAGUGGGGAAUAUUGCACAAUGGGGGAAACCCUGAUGCCGCGACGCCGCGUGAGCGAUGAAGUAUUUCGGUAUGUAAAGCUCUAUCAGCAGGGAAGAAAAUGACGGUACCUGACUAAGAAGCCCCGGCUAACUACGUGCCGGCAGCCGCGGUACUACGGAGGGGGCAAGCGUUAUCCGGAUUUACUGGGGGUAAAGGGAGCGUAGACGGGGGUGCAAGCCAGAUGUGAAAGCCCGGGGCUCAACCCCGGGACUGCAUUUGGAACUGUGUGGCUAGAGUGUCGGAGAGGCAGGCGGAAUUCCUAGUGUAGCGGUGAAAUGCGUAGAUAUUAGGAAGAACACCAAUGGCGAAGGCGGCCUGCUGGACGAUGACUGACGUUGAGGCUCGAAAGCGUGGGGAGCGAACAGGAUUAGAUACCCCAGUAGUC